ACCACAAUUGGCUUAGCCAAUU
rnacentral:miRNA from 1 species